rnacentral:rRNA from 1 species
UACGGAGGAUGCAAGCGUUAUCCGGAAUGAUUGGGCGUAAAGCGUCCGCAGGUGGUACAACAAGUCUAGUGUCAAAGACCGGGGCUCAACUCCGGGAUGGCGGUGGAAACUGUUGAACUAGAGGGUCGUAGGGGUAGAGGGAAUUCCCAGUGUAGCGGUGAAAUGCGUAGAGAUUGGGAAGAACAUCGGUGGCGAAGGCGCUCUACUGGACGGCAACUGACACUCAGGGACGAAAGCUAGGGGAGCGAAUGGG